UACGUAGGGGGCAAGCGUUGUCCGGAUUUAUUGGGCGUAAAGAGCUCGUAGGCGGCCUGUCGCGUCCGCUGUGAAAUCCCGGGGCUUAACCCCGGGCGUGCAGUGGAUACGGGCAGGCUGGAGGCAGGCAGGGGAGAACGGAAUUCCCGGUGUAGCGGUGAAAUGCGCAGAUAUCGGGAGGAACGACCGGUGGCGAAGGCGGUUCUGCUGGGCCUG
rnacentral:rRNA from 1 species